GACGAACGCUGGCGGCGUGCUUAACACAUGCAAGUCGAACGGUGAAGGGAUCAGCUUGCUGGUUCUGGAUGAGUGGCGAACGGGUGAGUAACACGCGAGUAACCUGCCCCCUUCUUCUGGAUAACCGCAUGAAAGUGUGGCUAAUACGGGAUAUUCUGCGCCUGCUGCAUGGUGGGUGUGGGAAAGAUAUUGUUUCGGUGGGGGAUGGGCUCGCGGCCUAUCAGCUUGUUGGUGGGGUGAUGGCCUACCAAGGCGGUGACGGGUAGCCGGCCUGAGAGGGUGGACGGUCACACUGGGACUGAGACACGGCCCAGACUCCUACGGGAGGCAGCAGUGGGGAAUAUUGCACAAUGGGCGCAAGCCUGAUGCAGCGACGCCGCGUGAGGGAUGGAGGCCUUCGGGUUGUGAACCUCUUUCGCCAGUGAAGCAGGCCUGUCCCUUGUGGGUGGGUUGACGGUAGCUGGAUAAGAAGCGCCGGCUAACUACGUG
rnacentral:rRNA from 1 species